rnacentral:rRNA from 1 species
AUACAGAGGGUGCGAGCGUUAAUCGGAAUUACUGGGCGUAAAGCGCGCGUAGGUGGUUAUGUAAGUCGGAUGUGAAAGCCCCGGGCUCAACCUGGGAAUUGCAUUCGAAACUGCAUGGCUAGAGUCUGAUAGAGGGAAGUGGAAUUUCCGGUGUAGUGGUGAAAUGCGUAGAUAUCGGAAGGAACAUCAGUGGCGAAGGCGACUUCCUGGAUCAAGACUGACGCUAAGGUGCGAAAGCGUGGGGAGCAAACAGGAUUAGAAACCCCAGUAGUCC